GACGUAGGGCGCGAGCGUUGUCCGGAUUUAUUGGGCGUAAAGAGCUCGUAGGCGGCUUGUCGCGUCGACUGUGAAAACCCGCGGCUUAACUGCGGGACUGCAGUCGAUACGGGCAGGCUAGAGUUCGGUAGGGGAGACUGGAAUUCCUGGUGUAGCGGUGAAAUGCGCAGAUAUCAGGAGGAACACCGGUGGCGAAGGCGGGUCUCUGGGCCGAUACUGACGCUGAGGAGCGAAGCGUGGGGAGCGAACAGG
rnacentral:rRNA from 1 species